UUCCUCAUCCCCGGGGUCCAGUUUUCCCAGGAAUCCCUUGGGCAAUCGAAAGGGGGAUUCCUGGAAAUACUGUUCUUGGGGUUGGGGGU
rnacentral:pre_miRNA from 8 species